rnacentral:rRNA from 1 species
UACGUAGGGGGCAAGCGUUGUCCGGAUUUAUUGGGCGUAAAGAGCGUGUAGGCGGCCAAGCAGGUCCGCUGUGAAAACUCGAGGCUCAACCUCGAGAGGUCGGUGGAAACCGUUUGGCUAGAGUCCGGAAGAGGAGAGUGGAAUUCCCAGUGUAGCGGUGAAAUGCGUAGAUAUUGGGAGGAACACCAGUGGCGAAGGCGACUUUCUGGACGAUAACUGACGCUGAGGCGCGAAAGCGUGGGGAGCAAACAGG